rnacentral:rRNA from 1 species
AUUGAACGCUGGCGGCAGGCUUAACACAUGCAAGUCGAGCGAGCGGCGGACGGGUGAGUAAUGUCUGGGAAACUGCCUGAUGGAGGGGGAUAACUACUGGAAACGGUAGCUAAUACCGCAUACCAUCAGAUGUGCCCAUAUGGGAUUAGCUAGUAGGUGGGGUAAGGGCUCACCUAGGCGACGAUCCCUAGCUGGUCUGAGAGGAUGACCAGCCACACUGGGACUGAGACACGGCCCAGACUCCUACGGGAGGCAGCAGUGGGGAAUAUUGCACAAUGGGCGCAAGCCUGACGCAGCCAUGCCGCGUGAGUGAAGAAGGCCUUCGGGUUGUAAAGCACUGUUGGCGGGGAGGCGUUAUUCGCAGAGGAAGCAACGGCUAACUCCGUGCCAGCAGCCGCGGUAAUUC